rnacentral:rRNA from 1 species
UAGAUACCCUGGUAGUCCAUGCCGUAAACGAUGAUUACUAGGUGUUGGGGGAUUGACCCCCUCAGUGCCGCAGUUAACACAAUAAGUAAUCCACCUGGGGAGUACGACCGCAAGGUUGAAACUCAAAGGAAUUGACGGGGGCCCGCACAAGCAGUGGAGUAUGUGGUUUAAUUCGAAGCAACGCGAAGAACCUUACCAGGUCUUGACAUCCGAUGCAUAGCACAGAGAUGUGUGAAAUCCUUCGGGACAU